GUAGGGGAUUUCACUUUGAAACUACAACAUGUCCCUUCCAGAAAUAUUCAGGGACCAUUGAUCACCAAGGGGCAGAGUCUUCUUAUACGCUGACAGAAAUCCAGAAUGUCCAUCCCCAGUUCACAGGAGUCAAAAGUUACACCUUCAGAUUGGGACACUCGAGAAACGGGCUGAACCACCAGGCGAUGGAUUAUAUGUUUCGCAAGUUGGAAAGCUUCGCACACAGAGUUGAACAAUGGCCAUCCAUGGGCCAGGGAGUUUUACUGUUUAUUUAAAGUGACUUUACAUGAAAUCUUUUGAUAGCUAAAGCAGCACUUUUACAAACUGUGCUGGGGAGUCCAAGCCGGGACCGUGCUGGACAAGCACUGUACCACCGAACUACAUCCUAGCCCUAAGACAUCUUUAAAGUGGGAUUCGAAGACUUCUUGGAUUUACAUACCUUGGAAGUUUAAAAUCUACAUACAAAAAAGUGGGGCAUACAUAUGAAACAAUUAGCUUAAAGUCUUUGUUAGGAAGAGAAGACCAUGAAGUGAGCAUAAAGACAAAACGGUUCUAUAUUAGUUUUGCCCAGCUAUCACUUUCGAAGAAGAGGGACUCCCAGCCCUGUGCUGAAACCUCAAAGCUGCCCUCUCUUCACCAAUUCCCAGCAAGGCUGAGCCUUUGAACUUAGGUACUAAACACCAUGACCUCUGGCAUGUACUCCAUGGGCCUGUCAUCUUGGACGAACCUUUCCCACAGAAGGCCCUCUGCUGGCCACUUGUAGGCAGGUGAUGACUUCACUCCAGGCCACAAGUAGCUCUGCCCUCCCUCCCUCUGUGUCACCUAGGCCAAGGGAUUGUCAGAAAGCAAAACAACGACCAAAGGUUCAUGGGCUCUUCUUGAUUAUACUGGGAUCUCAAGGCAGAAAUGAGCUUUGUCUGCUUGUUAGGGACAGGAUCUCACUACAUUUGCUCCACACUGACCUUGAAUUGGUGGCCAUCCUGUCUCACGAGCAAAUACAAGACAGUUGGUUCUUGGUAUUUUAUUUAUAUAUUUUAUUCCAACUGGAUUGAAGUUCAUUGAGUUGUAUAGUCCCUGGGUCUGGUUUAUUUCCAUGUGUGAUUUUUUUUUAAUUUGUAACAUUUUAUUUAUUUAUUUUGUUUUUGUUUGGUUGGUUGGUUUUUUGUUUGUUUGUUUGUUUGUUUUUAAAGAUUUAUUU
rnacentral:lncRNA from 1 species